ACAAACAAUAAAAAAUCAUCCAUGUUUAUCUGAUGGGACAAAACAAUAGUUAACUACUACAAGGAAUAAAGAAAAAGAAAAUAAUUAAACUUCUAAUAUAGUAGCAUUAGGAGAAACUAAAGUCUCGGCAUAUGUUCGAUCGAUGAAAAGUAAAACUUGAGGUCCUGCAAUUUUAAAUUCUUUCAACUUUCGUUUUGCAUCACCAACUUUAUUCAACUCUCGAGUUUUUGAAUCAUACACCACAUAUUCAUUCGUAUCGCUCCUGUAAAACAAAAAAUCUUUAGUACCCUUCUUAAGCAAUAAAGGACCUGGUUCUUCAAUUUCCAACAUUUUUUUCCACAAACAGCUCGUCGAUACAUUCUUAGUCAUACUCGAAACUUCCAGAUUAAGUUUACCAUAGAACGAGACCCUCGAAAAUUUAGCCAAAAAAAUGCGUUCUCCCAGAGCAAAUUGAGUCGUAUUUGUGAUCGGAAGGCGGAUUGUUGUUGAUUCUCUUGAGACUCUCAGGGUUCCAGAAAACAAUGUUGUCGGAAAACUGUAUAGCUAGAAGAAAAGCACCGUUGACGCGAGAAUUCACAAAAUUUAUGCGUAAUUGGUGAGUGAUUACUGACGGAGGCUCAAUAAUUGAGUCGUCAAUUGAGCAGUCUAGAUCCUUUUU
rnacentral:lncRNA from 1 species